rnacentral:rRNA from 1 species
GACGGGGGGUCCAAGCGUUGUUCGGAAUUACUGGGCGUAAAGGGCGCGUAGGCGGCCUUCUAAGUCAUGCGUGAAAUCCCCGGGCUCAACCCGGGAACUGCGUCUGAUACUGGAAGGCUUGAAUCCGGGAGAGGGAUGCGGAAUUCCAGGUGUAGCGGUGAAAUGCGUAGAUAUCUGGAGGAACACCGGUGGCGAAGGCGGCAUCCUGGACCGGUAUUGACGCUGAGGCGCGAAAGCCAGGGGAGCAAACGGG